GCUCUUUUCCCUCUCGUCCAACCAUCAAAUCCAUGCAAUCUCCAAGGAAACAAAAUAAAUUUUUAUUCACAGUGGGGGUGGGGGGGUAUGGCCCGUGUCCAAGGUAAUGAAAAAGACGAAUUACCCUGCAAAUCCUUCCAAAUGGACCACACUCAGCUCCAGUGUGGAGUGGGUGGAGCAGAGACCAGAAGCAGCUGUCUCAGGACUGGCCUCCUACCACUUUCCAUGACUUUUUCAAAUCUAAAUUUAGCUACUAUUUAUAGGUGACCAGGAGAGCACACCCUCACCCGCACCCGCAACCCCUGCUGCUGCCCACUGGAAGGGCAAACUAAAGCUUGGCAUUUCACAGGUAGGCGUGAAAGUCAGCUUUAUACAGAUCAUAGACACUGACCCGGCCUUUGUCAUCCCUUAUCGCUGCUCCACCCUGUUUGUCUACAGCUGCUGGUUACACCCAAGUGUCUGUUCGUUGGUUGGUUGAUUUGGAGGUCCCUCCAGGGAGGCGAUUGAGAAGAGCCAUCCAUCCCUGCUGCAUGACUUCCAGUUCACAGCUGUUGGGAGGAUGAUCAAAGAGGAAAAUGCAUGUCCAAGAGAGAGGAGAAAGGUCCUGGUCCUGCUGGGGUCUUUCUGGGGCUGAACAGGACGAAUGGCAAGAGUUGUAUAUUUAAGAGAUAAGUGAGAGGAUUAGGUUGCAUUCAGGAAGAGUGAUUUAUUUAAAAGAUGGAACCAGGAUGUCCUGCUCUCCCUGAACUCUAGGACAAUAUGAGGAAGAGAGGUUUGCUGUCUUGGAGUGUGCAUGGCUAAGGAUAUCUGACUAUCUGACAUCACCACCUUGGCCAACAACUCAUUUCUUCUAUGAAGGACUCAGGAUUCCUCACCUCCACUUCCAGAAUUCUAAACAUAGCAGUAUAGUGGUGAGGUUUGGUCUUUUGCUGUGUAUUGUAAUGACUUCACACACGUCCCAUAUGGUUCUGAAGGAUUGAGCAACACAGCAUCUAUGUUGGUGGCUGACUUAAUAACCCUUCCUUGAACUGGUUUUUCUCUUCCUAGUUUGCAUUUCCAGGCCACUGCUAUUGGUCCUUGAACUCUAUUCCCUAAUAAAAUAUUCAUAUUG